GGAGAUAAGGCUCCAAGAGCAUUUGACUGUACAUCACAAGGUCCCUGGUUCAAAUCCAGGUGCCCCUU
rnacentral:tRNA from 1 species